rnacentral:rRNA from 1 species
GAUGAACGCUGGCGGCGUGCCUAAUACAUGCAAGUCGAGCGAACAGAUGAGGAGCUUGCUCCUCUGACGUUAGCGGCGGACGGGUGAGUAACACGUGGAUAACCUACCUAUAAUACUGGGAUAACUUCGGGAAACCGGAGCUAAUACCGGAUAAUAUAUUGAACCGCAUGGUUCAAUAGUGAAAGACGGUUUUGCUGUCACUUAUAGAUGGAUCCGCGCCGCAUUAGCUAGUUGGUAAGGUAACGGGUUACCAAGGCGACGAUGCGUAGCCGACCUGAGAGGGUGGUCGGCGACACUGGAGCUGAGACACGGUCCAGACUACUACGGGAGGCAGCAGUAGGGAAUCUUACGCAAUGGGCGAAAGCCUGACGGAGCAACGCCGCGUGAGUGAUGAAGGUCUUCGGAUCGGAAAACUCUGUUAUUAGGGAAGAACAAAUGUGUAAGUAACUAUGCACGUCUUGACGGUACCUAAUCAGAAAGCCACGGCUAACUACGUG